rnacentral:piRNA from 1 species
AAGAAUGGCACCCGGACAGAACCUC